UACGUAGGGUGCGAGCGUUUAAUCGGAAUUACUGGGCGUAAAGCGUGCGCAGGCGGUUCGUCGUGUCCGAUGUGAAAGCCCCGGGCUCAGCCCGGGAAGGGCACUAGAAACUGCCGAGCUGGAGUGCCGGAGGGGAGAUGGAAUUCCUGGUGUAGCGGUGAAAAUGCGUCGAUAUCAGGAGGAACACCGGUGGCGAAAGCGGAGUCUGCGGAACGCACUGAGGAGCGAAAGCGUGGGGAGCAAACAGG
rnacentral:rRNA from 1 species